UCAAGAACAAUGCGCUGGAUGCCUAUUGGUUGAAAGCUCCGGCGCCUCAGGAUGAGUCUGCGGCCUAUCAGGUUGUAGUGAGUGUAACGGACUCACUAGCCGACGACGGGUACGGGCAGUGGGAGCUGUCGCCCGGAGAUGGAUUCUGAGACACGAAUCCAGGCCCUACGGGGCGCAGCAGGCGCGAAAACUUCGCAAUGCGGGAAACCGCGACGAGGGAACUCCAAGUGCCAUGCCAUUGGUAUGGCUGUUUUCUAGUCUAAAAAACUAGGAGAGUAAGGGCUGGGUAAGACUGGUGCCAGCCGCCGCGGUAAUACCAGCAGCUCAAGUGGUGAUCCUUAUUAUUGGGCCUAAAGCGUCCGUAGCCUGUCUAGUAAAUCCUUGGGUAAAUCGUACCGCUUAACGGUACGACUUCUGGGGAGACUGCUAGACUUGGGACUGGGAGAGGUCGGAGGUACUCCAGGGGUAGGGGUGAAAUCCUGUAAUCCUUGGGGGACCACCAGUGGCGAAGGCGUCCGACUAGAACGGAUCCGACGGUGAGGGACGAAGCCGUGGGGCACAAACCGGAUUAGAUACCCGGGUAGUCCACGGUGUAAACGCUGCGAGCUUGGUGUUGGGGGUCCUACGAGGGCGCCCAGUGCCGGAGAGAA
rnacentral:rRNA from 1 species